CAUCAACCAUUUAUUAUGUUACAGUCAAUUUCAGCUGACUUUUCAUCGUAAGAUUCCGAACUUCGUUCCGAACUUCGCAAAUUCGUUGCCAAGUUCAAAAGUUCAUAAUGAAAUUCACAAACAGGUUUGUAAACUGGGCAUUUGAUUGGCUGGUUUGAUUUAAUAGCCAAUCAGAGGCUUUGUUUACAAACCUGCUUGUGAAUUUCAUUAUGAACUUUUGAACUUGGCAACGAAUUUGCGAAGUUCGGAACGAAGUUCGGAAUC